UGCGGAAGGAUCAUUAAUGAAUUCAGAGAAUUGAUGCUGGCCUUUGUGCAUGUGCUCGUUCUCUAUAAUCCAUUCACACCUGUGCACUUGUUUUCAGAGUUUAGGGAGAAAUCCCUACUCUGCUAAAUUACAUACUCUUUAUUUUAUUAUGAAUGUUUAUCAAGUCGAAAGACUUUUAAAUUAAAUACAACUUUUAACAACGGAUCUCUUGGCUCUCGCAUCGAUGAAGAACGCAGCGAAAUGCGAUAAGUAAUGUGAAUUGCAGAAUUCAGUGAAUCAUCGAAUCUUUGAACGCACCUUGCGCUCCUUGGUAUUCCGAGGAGCACGCCUGUUCGAGUGUCAUGAAGCUCUCAAGCGAUAAUAACUUUAUUGUAAUUAUUUAGCUUGGAUUUGGGACUUGCUGUGUUACAACGGCUGUCCCUAAAUGUAUUAGCCGGCUCUAAUGGAAGACUUGGUUCAUACUCGGUGUGAUAAUUAUCUUACGCUGAGGACAUUUUACUUGUAGAAUGGCCAGGACUAUUAUUAGGCUGCUUCUAAUCGUCUCUUCUGACAAAAUCAUAUUCUAA
rnacentral:rRNA from 1 species